AUACGGAGGGAGCAAGCGUUAUUCGGAAUCACUGGGCGUAAAGGACGCGUAGGCGGGUUUGUAAGUCAGGUGCGAAAUCCUACAGCUCAACUGUAGAACUGCACUUGAAACUACAGACCUAGAGUAUGGAAGGGGCAGAUGGAAUUAGUGGUGUAGGGGUAAAAUCCGUAGAUAUCACUAGGAAUACCGAAAGCGAAGGCGAUCUGCUGGGACAUUACUGACGCUGAGGCGUGAAAGCGUGGGGAGCAAACAGGAUUAGAAACCCCAGUAGUCC
rnacentral:rRNA from 1 species